rnacentral:rRNA from 1 species
GACGAACGCUGGCGGCGUGCUUAACGCAUGCAAGUCGAGCGGUAAGGCCUUUCGGGGUACACGAGCGGCGAACGGGUGAGUCACACGUGGGUGAUCUGCCCUGCACUUCGGGAUAAGCCUGGGAAACUGGGUCUAAUACCGGAUAUGACCUCCUAUCGCAUGGUGGGUGGUGGAAAGAUUUAUCGGUGCAGGAUGGGCCCGCGGCCUAUCAGCUUGUUGGUGGGGUAAUGGCCUACCAAGGCGACGACGGGUAGCCGACCUGAGAGGGUGACCGGCCACACUGGGACUGAGACACGGCCCAGACUCCUACGGGAGGCAGCAGUGGGGAAUAUUGCACAAUGGGCGAAAGCCUGAUGCAGCGACGCCGCGUGAGGGAUGACGGCCUUCGGGUUGUAAACCUCUUUCAGCAGGGACGAAGCGCAAGUGACGGUACCUGCAGAAGAAGCACCGGCUAACUACGUG